UUACCUAACACCAAAACCAGACGCAUUAAACAUAUAUAUAUAAUCGAACUUGAGCAUAAUGGUUAAGCCAUUUUCGCAUGGCUUUUAAUACAUAUCCAAAAUCAACAUUUCAAAACAAUUCCAGCUUAUACAUGCCAUAAUAGGAGUUUAAAUAUCUAAAUACCGAAGCUGUAGAUAGUGUGAUGAGCUUGGCUGACAACUCCCGAGCUUGUAGCUUGACUUCAAAAUCUAUAAAACAAAGUAGAUAUAACACAAGGAGUAAGCUCUCAAGGCUUAGUAAGUCAUAAGCAAAUCCACAUCUCAAUGAUUUAUUCGAUUUAACUAAUUUAAACUAGAAUUAUUACAUCAAUUUACAUUCAAUUAUAGGCACGAAUACAUCCAUGUUUCUUAUAUAUAUAAUCAUAUGCAUUUAUAUACAAUUAUAUUAUCACUUGAUUCGAACGCUUGUAUGAUCAAAAUUUACAAUUCACUAUUUAACUUUUGAGGCCGAAUAACCACUAAAUUUUUAGUUCACAUACUCAUACAUACCUAAACUUAUAGAUUAUAAAAUAAUCUUAAGUACUUAUAUUAGUCACAUAACCGAACACACAUAAAUACACAUAUGCAAAAUUUACACUUAUUCAAUAAUGUGCUAUAGGCCGAAUACUCUUACCUUAUUUUUGUCAAUUAGAGAACUAACACAUACCUGGCCAUUUAGCUCGUAUCAUACACUCCGUACAUGAUUAUCUUUUCCCGAUGAACCAUUCAAAAUCUGAUAGGACACUCGGAUUAUCACAUAUAUUGUACAAUGCCAACGUCCCAGAUGUGGUCUUACAUGUAGCCACAUAUCGAUGCCACUGUCCAAGACAGGGUCUUACCGUAAACACAUAUCGAAAGAACAAAUCAAUGUCAUGGACUUACUCGCACACACAUAUCGGAACCUUAUGUCAUGACAUAUGUAUCCUAGCUCUUCCUAAGGUUCAAACGGGGUUUUCGGACGUCGUAACUCGGUCGAAUUGAAUUUAGAAACGAAAUAACCAAGCCUUUCCAUAUUCAGCUAUAUCAAAUAUAAACUUCAACAUUUCAUAACAGCGUGUAUAUUUAAUAUUUAACUACAAUUAAACACAUCUAUUUGCUUAUAAACUUACCUCGGACGUCGUAAAACUAGACGGGGCUGCUAGUCGACAACUUUCGUUUUUCCUGGGUCCAAAUCCGAUUUCUUUGGUUCUUGAUCUAAACAUGUUCAAAUUAAGCUCAUUCAAACAUAUUUUAAUUCAAUUUAGUACAAAAACACAUAAAUGGAAAAAUUUCCAUUUUACCCCUAACAUUUAAAAUUUUUACAAUUUAGUCCCUAUUACACAAAACACAAAAUAUGCAAAGUUUCAAGGUACCCAUGCUUGGCCGAAUAUUCCUAGUGUUCAUAAAAGCCCAUAUAUUUUAUUUAUUUUACAUUUUAGUCCCUUAAAUUAUUAUUUUUACAAUUAAGUCCUAAUUGCUCAAAAUCAUCAAAAACUCCAAUACAAAAUAUGUUAAUCUAAAACAUAUCUUUAAUUUUUCAUCAUCAAACAACAAAAAUCACAAGCUAUCAACAAUGACAUAACUCAAAAUAUUCAGUAAAAUAAAAAAUUUAAGCUUGGGUUUUGAAGAUUACUAAGCAACGAUCUAAAAAGCGUAGAAAUUAUCAAAAACCGAACAAAAAUCUAACCUUGCUUAUGCUUUAAAAGUGCCGAACCCUAGCCUUUGUUUUUUUCUUUUUCUUUGUCUUAGUUUCGGUGUAUGAACAAGGAGAAAUGAUAUGAAAU
rnacentral:lncRNA from 1 species